UUCGAAUAUUCGAACAUGGCGGCCUUCGACUGUAACAUUAUUCUUGGCUGUAGACGUUUUACGGGAAUUUGCUAAGUGAACGUUUUUUUGUGUACGAAGAAGCCGAUUAUCAAGCGACUGGUCUGCAGCUGGCGUUUGAGGUUUCCAUCGAUUGUCACUUCGUUGGUCAAGUUAUCAACGCAGGUGUUCUGCAAGGUGAUGUUUGGCACGAGUUUUGACUUACUAUGAGGUCCUGUUCUCGCUGUAAAGCUUCAAGCAUGAUAAAGCUGCUUUCUUUAGCAACAGGAGGUUCUUGUUGCAGUUGACGUGCGAGCUAAGUGGUUGGUACCGGUUGGGUAGUUCCUUGUCUCGAGAACUUGGCGGUUUGUCUUAUUUUCGGCAUUGCAUUGAAGUAUCGAUAAUUACGACGUUAAUGGGGAUAGUCUCGAUGUACCGUGGUACUGUGACCAUGUAAUGGUUUGGGACGUAGCCGCACGAAUCGCUGGCUGCGUUUUACUCUUAUAACAGAAGAAAGUGAGAGGAAAAUGAGAUGACAGUGAUAGUCGGUAACCAACGAGGAUUUCUGCACUUGCUCCUAUAGGUUUCACUAUGUCAGCCAUUUGCUUUGCAAGGCUUAAUUAAGCGUACUUUCCAACACUUAAUGUUUUCUCGGCAAGAUGCUUAUUUGCAUGGUUUUGAUGUUAUCAAGAG